rnacentral:rRNA from 1 species
AGGUGAAAUUUGGUUCCUAAGAGUGUUUGAUAUUGUCUGUGAAAAUAUUAUAUCUACGGAGGUUAGAGGGUAAAUCAGGAUUAGAUACCCUGUUAUUUUUAACUUUAAAUUGAUAGCUUGAAUAGUAAACAGUUAUGGUCUCGAAACUUAAAGAAUUUGGCGGUACUUUAGUCUAGUUAGAGGAACCUGUUCAGUAAACGAUACUCCACGAAUAAUCUUACUUUCCCUAGUGAUUGUACAGUUUGUAUACCUCCAUUUGUUUAAGUAAUUUCAAAAGAAUAUACUGAAAUAAUUGAAUCUUUAGUUAAUAAUUUAGGUCAAGGUGCAGCUUAUGGGAAAGAAUGAAAUGGGUUACAAUAAAAUGAGUUUUGUAUGGAUGAAAAGGUUAAAUGCUUUUUUGAAAGUGGAUUUAAUAGUAAUUUUAUUUUAAUAUGGUAAUUUGAAAUUAGCUCUAAGGUGUGUA